UUCAGUCAGAGGAAUAGAGUCAGGGGGCUGGAGGAGAUCGUCUCACAGACUUGCGAUGGACGAGCUUUAUUUUACUGUGGACUUUGAAUUUGCCUGCAGACCGAGGCUGCACAGAGGUCCUCAGAGCGGUGACACUGGACAAAUCUCAGGAAGCAUCAGGACUCCCCUCCUCUGGACAGUGUAGGAAUUACAGGCUUCCUUCAGCGCUCUGCGUCUUUGGGCACGUUUAAAAAUCCGUUUCUGAAUCUUUCAUGGAAACAAACAUGUCAGAAUAAACUUCACGGAUCCAAACUUUA